ACGGAGGGGGUUAGCGUUGUUCGGAAUUACUGGGCGUAAAGCGUACGUAGGCGGACUAAAAAGUUAGGGGUGAAAUCCCAGGGCUCAACCCUGGAACUGCCUCUAAAACUGGUAGUCUAGAGUUCGAGAGAGGUGAGUGGAAUUCCAAGUGUAGAGGUGAAAUUCGUAGAUAUUUGGAGGAACACCAGUGGCGAAGGCGGCUCACUGGCUCGAUACUGACGCUGAGGUACGAAAGUGUGGGGAGCAAACAGG
rnacentral:rRNA from 1 species